rnacentral:rRNA from 1 species
GACGAACGCUGGCGGCGUGCUUAACACAUGCAAGUCGAACGGAAAGGCCCUGCUUUUGUGGGGUGCUCGAGUGGCGAACGGGUGAGUAACACGUGAGUAACCUGCCCUUGACUUUGGGAUAACUUCAGGAAACUGGGGCUAAUACCGGAUAGGAGCUCCUGCUGCAUGGUGGGGGUGGGAAAGUUUCGGCGGUUGGGGAUGGACUCGCGGCUUAUCAGCUUGUUGGUGGGGUAGUGGCUUACCAAGGCUUUGACGGGUAGCCGGCCUGAGAGGGUGACCGGCCACAUUGGCUCUGAGAUACGGCCCAGACUCCUUCGGGGGGCAGGAGUGGGGACUUUAGCCCGAUGGGCGGAAGCCUGAUGCAGCAACGCCGCGUGCGGGAUGGCGGCCUUCGGGUUGUAAACCGCUUUCGCUUGUGCCGAAGCGUGAGUGCCGGUACUGGGGAAAGAAGCACCGGCUACCUCCGU